GUCCUUCACAGCGGUCUGGGAGAGCAUCGAAAGCGCCGAAACGUUUCGACUUUAUCGAUCCCGACAUUUUCCUCAUUUUGGGAGAUGAAGAAGCUGGCGUCGAGAGUCUGAGCGUGCUUGAUUGUCGAGAUAACGACCCGGAGAUGGAUGAGAGCACAUUCACUAGUGUGCACAGCUUGCUUUUGUACUCUAGCUCAUCACGUGAACGGGGCUUGCUUGAUUCUCUGACUUUGCGUUUGCUCAGCUAUGAUGCAGAGCUUGUGUGAAUGGACUGUAUUAGAAUAUAUUACAGCAUGCCCCCUAUUAUGAGGGCAUGCUUACACAGAGCUGUAAUGAAGAGUCAAGGAUGACGGACUUUGAUAGUUGAAGAGCCUAUGCUCUUUCUUGCGUGGACAAUUUAAUCUCACUUGUUAUCUGAUGGUUUCGGUAAUUUUUUGUUUGCUUCUCCAGAAUGUCUGCAAUUGUGCAGUUGUCAGUAGGUACUCCUUUCUCCACAGACCUGUUACUUGCUUAAUUGUGAUGAGUGGCAUAUGGUGUACCGUUAUCCGGUAUCUAGUUGUACAUGGGAUAGAUUGCAUUGAUAGAUUGCAUUUUGGGAGGUGGCUAUAAUGUGGCAUUUGUACAACUUGGUGUGGACUGUGCUGCAUGUGAAGCCACGUUGUUGUAAAUGUUUAUUGUCUCUAAAGCUAAGUAAACAGAUACUCUUCCAGCAGUUUGAAUCUGGAAAGAUGCAAACAAAAAGCUAGGCAGUUUCAUGGUUAAUUUGAAACAGAAUAUUAAUGUAGGCAUGGCAGCUGGAAUCUAUUUCAAACCUAGAAGU